AUGCUAGUUUUGGUAGCAUGUAUACUAAAACUGAAAAAGUACAGAGAAGAUUAGAAUGACUCUUGCACAAGGAGGACACUCGAAUUUUUGAAGCAUUCCAUAUUUUU